rnacentral:snoRNA from 1 species
CACUUCUUAAGGUCGUUCCUAGAGAGUUUCCAGUACUCUACCAGUCUCGACUAUGGGAGGGAGAGUCAAGCAGAGGCCUGUCCAUUCCAUUCCUAGCUUGGCCAGUGGCUAGCGAGUGGAAGGCAACCUGCUACAAGU